rnacentral:misc_RNA from 1 species
UUUAAAAAUGGUUUUCAUCGGAAAAUCUUGCUCUUUAACAAUUUGGAAAGCUGACAAAACAACAAAUUAUUGUUGUUUGUAAAGUUCUCAAUGUUUAUCGAAAGAUAAACACCAACAACACAUUCAAGUGUGCUUGGUAUCAGAAUAAGACUUCGGUCUUGUUCAAAUUUGAGUCCGGCAAAAUCUGUCUCGCACUCAUGUAAAUUAAACGCGAGACAACUUAGGUUGUUUAAACAGCAAUCCGAAACUCCUU